UUGAAAUCACUGAUCUAACGAUUACAAUGUAAAUGUCAUAGUUGUAUUACAAAUGGCCGGUAUAUAGAAGUCGCGUGAGAACUCCGAGAAUUCCGAUCGAUUACUAACUUCGAGCCAAGGAUUGAGUAAUGGAAUUUUGUGUCGAUGAAGGAGGAUACAAUGAAGACGAGUGAAUAUAAUUUGGUGUAAGAGAGGGUAUGGAUAAUCAAUAAUUUAGAAAAGAGGAAUAAUUGCAGGAAAUAGAAAGAGAGAAAAAAGAGUGUUGCGUUCUAAAACAAAGAACGUAGAUUGCAAGAUGUGCUCAGACUGAAUGAAUAAAGAAAUGUAUGCAAAAAAAUCUACGUUUAGAUUGCAAGAAGAAAUCUCACAUAUCAAAUAAAUCCGUUUUAUGAACGCGUAUAAUACUAAGAUAUUACACCCGAUUGCAUAAUAUCAGCGUAAAAUCCGUCGCCUGAGUUCGAUAUCCAAUUUUACUUCUUUCGCCACAACCGUCUAUUGAUUAAUCUGGAAAUUACUGAAAAUUGAGCUGCGACAGAUCAUUGACUAAUUAUCAACAUAAAUUUCGAUCUCCGCAAAUUUCGUUUUUUCAACGAGACCUGGACAGGUGUGACUUCCACGUCAUCGAAAACGCUAAAUCGUGCGUGAAGAAAUGCAUAAGAUCCUUGUUAUCGAAGAAGGAAUUUCUCGAACGAAUAGAGUCGUUUCUCAUACUGCGUGCUCCGCAUUCGCGUCACGAUUUUCGUCUUCCGUCGCGUCGCCUCGAACAAAAAGGAGACGGAAAACGAAUGGACACAUCAAGGCUAUGAAAUAAACAAGGCGCGCGUGACACGGAGAAACACCAAUGGGAUAAGAAAACAGUAGAUAACAAAAUGAAAAAAAAAAA